AACAUCAGAACAUUACAACAUUACAACAACAGAACACUACAACAUCAGAACACUACAACAUUAGAACAUUACAACAUCAGAACACUACAACAUCAGAACAUUACAACAUCAGAACAUGACAACAUCAGAACAUUACAACAACAGAACACUACAACAUCAGAACAUUACAACAUCAGAACAUUACAACAUCAGAACAUUACAACAUCAGAACAUUACAACAUCAGAACAUUACAACAUUACAACAACAGAACACUACAACAUCAGAACAUUACAACAUCAGAACAUUACAACAUCAGAACAUUACAACAUCAGAACAUUACAACAUCAGAACAUGACAACAUCAGAACAUCAUAAUAUCAGAACAUUACAAGAUCAGAACAUUAUGACAUCAGAACAUUACGACAUCAGAACAUCAUUAUAUCAGAACAUUACAAAAUCAGAACAUUACGACAUCAGAACAUUACAACAUCAGAACAUUACAACAUCAGAACAUCAGAACAUGACAACAUCAGAACAUCAUUAUAUCAGAACAUUACAACAUCAGAACAUUACAACAUCAGAACAUUACAACAUCACAACAUCAGAACAUCAGAACAUUACAACAUCAGAACAUUACAACAUCACAACAUCAGAACAUCAUUAUAUCAGAACAUUACAACAUCAGAACAUUACAACAUCAGAACAUCAUAAAAUCUGAACAUUACAACAUUACAACAUUACAACAUCAGAACAUCAGAAUAUCACAACAUCCGAACAUCAUAAUAUCACAACAUCACAACAUCAGAAUAUCAGAACAUCAGAAUAUCACAACAUCCGAACAUCAUAAUAUCACAACAUCAGAACAUCCGAACAUCAUAAUAUCACAACAUCACAACAUCAGAACAUUACAACAUCAGAAUAUCACAACAUCACAACAUCAGAACCAUCAGAAUAUCAGAACAUCACAACAUCAGAAUAUCAGAACAUCACAACAUCAGAAUAUCAGAACAUCAUAAUAUCACAACAUCACAACAUCAGAACCAUCAGAAUAUCACAAC
rnacentral:lncRNA from 1 species